GGGUUCGUCCCCAGUGGCUAGAACAAUUCGAGAGUGGGUGCUGAACUAAUCUUCUGCGUAUGACAGGCAACAUCAAACUUAAAUAACUACUAGAUUUUGUUUCUUUAUAUAUACCUGGUUGGUUGUGCACCUGUCUGAUAACAUCCAAAUUAAGGUGAAAGCAAGCGUGAACUAAUGCAUCGUUGACAGGUAGUCGCAAAAAGACAUCUUCUAAAUAUUGAAUAUUGAAAUGGUAUUUCUUCUAAGUUAGGAAUGAACAUAAUAGUGUCUCAGGUCAAGUUUGCCGAUCUCUCAAGAAAUGCGAGGUCGACGUACAAUCAUUGUCAACGGAACUAGAUGUGUAUUAGAUUGCCGGAACACAAUGUACUAUCAAUAUCCGGAAUUAUGUGGUCUUCUUAUUCAUUUAUUCAUUUAUUGUAUUAGUUUUAUUAUGCUUGAUUUUGUUUGUGUGGAUUCUGUUUGGAGAGUCACUUGAUAGUUUUCAUCCUAAACUUUUUGGCAAUCCUUGGAUGGCAGGUUUUCACCUCUCUUUGUAUUUAUAUUUCAUCCGAAAAUAAAAUUUGAUUUGAUUUGAUUUGAUUCUGCAAAUAAUUGCGCGCGAAUAUUUAUUAGGUUUUAUACCGCUGUAUUAUCGAAAUUGAAUGCAAAUUAUGUUUCUUGUAAUCCUCGAAUGAUAUUACAGAGACCAACUUAAAUAAUAAUAAUAAUGAUAAUAAUAAUAAUAAUAAUAAUAAUAAUAAUAGUUCUGAUGUAACAUUUCCGAGUAUAUAAGAAAUAAAGUUAUAAUUUAUAAUA